rnacentral:rRNA from 1 species
AUUGAACGCUGGCGGCAUGCUUUACACAUGCAAGUCGGACGGCAGCACAGAGAAGCUUGCUUCUUGGGUGGCGAGUGGCGAACGGGUGAGUAAUAUAUCGGAACGUACCGAGUAAUGGGGGAUAACUGAUCGAAAGAUUAGCUAAUACCGCAUAUUCUCUGAGGAGGAAAGCAGGGGACCUUCGGGCCUUGCGUUAUUCGAGCGGCCGAUAUCUGAUUAGCUAGUUGGUGGGGUAAAGGCCUACCAAGGCGACGAUCAGUAGCGGGUCUGAGAGGAUGAUCCGCCACACUGGGACUGAGACACGGCCCAGACUCCUACGGGAGGCAGCAGUGGGGAAUUUUGGACAAUGGGCGCAAGCCUGAUCCAGCCAUGCCGCGUGUCUGAAGAAGGCCUUCGGGUUGUAAAGGACUUUUGUCAGGGAAGAAAAGGCUGUUGCUAAUAUCGACAGCUGAUGACGGUACCUGAAGAAUAAGCACCGGCUAACUACGUG